GAUGAAGAACGUAGCGAAAUGCGAUAAGUAAUGCGAAUUGCAGAAUUCAGUGAAUCAUCGAAUCUUUGAACGCACAUUGCGCCCGCCAGUAUUCUGGCGGGCAUGCCUGUCUGAGCGUCGUUUCGACCCUCGCGCCCGGCUUCUGUCGGGGGCGGUGUUGGGGAUCGGCCACACCCUUCAGUGGGAGGCCGGCCCCUAAAUUCAGUGGCGACCACGCUGUAGCCUCCCCUGCGUAGUACUAAAACCACCUCGCAGGCGGAGAGCGGUGCGGCCCGCCGUGAAACCCCCCAACUUUUACAAGGUCGACCUCAGAUCAGGUAGGAAUACCCGCUGAACUUAAGCAUAUCAAUAAGCGGAGGA
rnacentral:misc_RNA from 1 species